rnacentral:other from 1 species
UUGUCCCUGCGGUGCACGUGACUAGGCCAUACAUUCUCUGAACCUAUGUCUUAUGGCACAAGGUUGCGAUGGCUUUCCGGUGGGCGUGAUCGUCUCUCCGUCAGACGAACUCAAAGCCGGGCCGAAGCGACCACCUUGAACCUCAGGGUUCGAGAUGCCGGCCUUGACGGCACAUGCGGGGCAUUU